UAUUUUCUUCAAGUCAGAAGUACAAUUUGGUCAUGCGGGAGCCAAAAGUGGUGGUGAGAUGGAGUCUGCACAAGCCAAGAAUCAAGCACUUCACGAUGCUGGAGCUGUUGUCCCAACUUCAUUUGAAGCAUUUGAAACUAUGAUUAAAGAAACAUUUGAGAAGCUGGUUGAGGGGGGCAAUGUUACUCCUACAAAGGAAGUUUAAGCCUCCACAAAUCCCUGAGGAUCUUAAUACUGCUAUUAAGAGUGGAAAAGUCCGAGCUCCAACUCAUAUUAUAUCCACCAUAUCUGAUGACAGAGGAUACCGGGAGGACAGCAG